AACGAACGCUGGCGGCAUGCCUAACACAUGCAAGUCGAACGAAACGUUCGGGUCUUUUGGCGCACGGCUGCGUAAGGCGUGGGAAGCUGCCCUUGGGUAAGGAAUACCUCCCCGAAAGGGGUGCUAAUACCGGAUAAUGUCUUAGCACCAAGGAUUUAUCGCGUUGGGAUGGGCCCGCGUUGGAUUCGCUAGUUGGUAGGGUAAAAGCCUACCAAGGCGACGAUCCAGAGCUGGUCGGAGAGGAUGACAAGCCACACUGGGGCUCAGACACGGCCCAGAAUCCUACGCAAGGGAGCAGUGGGUAAUAUUGGACAAGGGGCGAAAGCCUGAUACAGCAAUGCCGGGUGAGUGAUGAAGGGCGUAGGGUUGUAAAGCUCUUUUACCCGGGAUGAUAAUGACGGUACCGGGAGAAUAAGCACCGGCUAACUCCGUG
rnacentral:rRNA from 1 species